CUGUCCGAGGGGCGCUGCAGCAGGCUCGACCUGUCAGGCUCGGAUGGGGCGUUCUCCGGUCGUGAUGAUGCGCCCGGAUACUAAACGCACAACGGCGCCCAUUCGCA
rnacentral:ncRNA from 1 species